GCAGGGCAGAGCUCAGUGGUGGAGCGCGCGCUUAGCAUGCGCGAGGUCCUGUGUUCAAUCCCCAGUUCCUCCA
rfam:Camelus ferus unplaced genomic scaffold scaffold576, whole genome shotgun sequence.